GAUGAAGAACGUAGCGAAAUGCGAUAAGUAGUGUGAAUUGCAGAAUUCAGUGAAUCAUCGAAUCUUUGAACGCACAUUGCGCCCCUUGGUAUUCCAUGGGGCAUGCCUGUUCGAGCGUCAUUUGUACCCUCAAGCUUUGCUUGGUGUUGGGUGUUUGUCUCGCCUCUGCGUGUAGACUCGCCUCAAAACAAUUGGCAGCCGGCGUAUUGAUUUCGGAGCGCAGUACAUCUCGCGCUUUGCACUCAUAACGACGACGUCCAAAAGUACAUUUUUACACUCUUGACCUCGGAUCAGGUAGGGAUACCCGCUGAACUUAAGCAUAUCAAUAAGCGGAGGA
rnacentral:misc_RNA from 1 species